rnacentral:tRNA from 1 species
AAAUAACUAACUCAAUGGUAGAGUGUUUCGCUUACAACGAAAAGGUUACUGGUUCAAGUCCGGUGUUAUUUA